AAAAGUUUUCAUAUUCUUGCGG
rnacentral:miRNA from 1 species